AACGAACGCUGGCGGCAGGCUUAACACAUGCAAGUCGAACGCGUGCAGCAAUGCACGAGUGGCGCACGGGUGAGUAACGCGUGGAUAUCUGCCUUUUGGCUCGGAAUAACCCCGGGAAACUGGGGCUAAUACCGGAUGGUUCCUACGGGAUAAAGAUUUAUCGCCAAAAGAUGAGUCCGCGUCCGAUUAGCUAGUUGGUGAGGUAAUGGCUCACCAAGGCGACGAUCGGUAGCUGGUCUGAGAGGACGAUCAGCCACACUGGGACUGAGACACGGCCCAGACUCCUACGGGAGGCAGCAGUGGGGAAUAUUGGACAAUGGGGGCAACCCUGAUCCAGCCAUGCCGCGUGAGUGAUGAAGGCCUUCGGGUUGUAAAGCUCUUUUGGCGGGGACGAUGAUGACGGUACCCGCAGAAUAAGCCCCGGCUAACUUCGUG
rnacentral:rRNA from 1 species